ensembl:snoRNA
GGUAUUAGUUCUGUGGCUCUACUGAAACACAAGUCAUGCUUCCACCACAGCAGGUUUAUUGCAGUGGUGACAAUGAGACUUGUAACAUUU